rnacentral:rRNA from 1 species
AUGCUUGUUGGUGGCUGGGGGAGUAUAAACCUUUACCAUUCUGUUUGGGAACUGCCUAUAAUGCAUGUAGUAUGGAAGAUACAGCCAUCUCAUAGUUAUUGCAUUGACAGUGAAAGUAUGCUGCUCAAAAUGUUACUCAAUCCCUAUCUCGUGGCCCCCCUGGACCUUCACCAACCUCAACUCCAACUCCAUAUAUUCCGUCUCGCGGAGAAAAAAAUCAGAGAGAAAGUUUCAUUGUGUUUUACGACACGGAGCCGCCGCCAAGCCCUAAUCUCUCUCGUAAGGGCUGAUCUGGAGUCCAUUCGGCGCUCCGGAGAGGGGGAUUCGUCCCCGUCGUCAUCAUCAACCAUCCUCCAUCACCAAUUUCAUGAUGCUCACCGCCGUGAGUGA